rnacentral:ncRNA from 1 species
CUCUGGAGAGAACGGAAGCUUGCGGCCCCGCCGCUUCGCCGACGUCACCAAAGGGGAAACCUGCGGAGACGAAUGCGCAGGGUAACUCUCAGGUACCAAGGACAGAG